rnacentral:rRNA from 1 species
UACGUAGGGUGCAAGCGUUGUCCGGAAUUAUUGGGCGUAAAGAGCUCGUAGGCGGUUUGUCGCGUCUGCUGUGAAAACUCAGGGCUUAACCCUGAGCCUGCAGUGGGUACGGGCAGACUAGAGUGUGGUAGGGGAGAUCGGAAUUCCUGGUGUAGCGGUGGAAUGCGCAGAUAUCAGGAGGAACACCGGUGGCGAAGGCGGAUCUCUGGGCCAUAACUGACGCUGAGGAGCGAAAGCAUGGGGAGCGAACCGG